UGCAGAGGUCUCAAGCGUUGUUCGGAUUCAUUGGGCGUAAAGGGUGCGUAGGCGGCGCGGUAAGUCGGGUGUGAAAUUUCGAGGCUUAACUUCGAAACUGCAUUCGAUACUGCCGUGCUUGAGGACUGGAGAGGAGACUGGAAUUUACGGUGUAGCGGUGAAAUGCGUAGAUAUCGUAAGGAAGACCAGUGGCGAAGGCGGGUCUCUGGACAGAUCCUGACGCUGAGGCACGAAGGCCAGGGGAGCAAACGG
rnacentral:rRNA from 1 species